rnacentral:rRNA from 1 species
GGUGCUUGCACCUGAUUGAUUUUGGUCGCCAACGAGUGGCGGACGGGUGAGUAACACGUAGGUAACCUGCCCAGAAGCGGGGGACAACAUUUGGAAACAGAUGCUAAUACCGCAUAACAACGUUGUUCGCAUGAACAACGCUUAAAAGAUGGCUUCUCGCUAUCACUUCUGGAUGGACCUGCGGUGCAUUAGCUUGUUGGUGGGGUAACGGCCUACCAAGGCGAUGAUGCAUAGCCGAGUUGAGAGACUGAUCGGCCACAAUGGGACUGAGACACGGCCCAUACUCCUACGGGAGGCAGCAGUAGGGAAUCUUCCACAAUGGGCGCAAGCCUGAUGGAGCAACACCGCGUGAGUGAAGAAGGGUUUCGGCUCGUAAAGCUCUGUUGUUAAAGAAGAACACGUAUGAGAGUAACUGUUCAUACGUUGACGGUAUUUAACCAGAAAGUCACGGCUAACUACGUGCCAGCAGCCGCGGUAAUACGUAGGUGGCAAGCGUUAUCC